ensembl:rRNA 5S_rRNA 5S ribosomal RNA
GCUUACGGCCAUACCUCUCCUGGCUCCGCCUGAUCUCGUCUGAUCUCAGAAGCUAAGCAGAGUAGGGCCCUGGUUAGUACUUGGAUGGAAAGACCCGCCUGGGAAUCCCAAGGUGCCGUAAGCU